CACCCAGGACAGGAUGACCAUGCUGCUAUCUGCUCUGAGCUGGGUCUCAGUGCAGAGGGACAGUGACUGUGGAUGGUUGCAGUCUCUGGUGGGAGGUGAGGAUAGAAGUGAUAAAGAGCUAAGAGGAGCUUCUGGGAGCCUUGGAGGACGUCAGUCUUGCAGUGGUGAUGCCAGGACAUAGGAGAUGGAGCAGGGCUGUGAGAGGAGGAGAUUCUGAGGAGGAUGCAGGAGAAUACCCCUCCCUAAGCCCUUAGUGUGUGCCGAGCUUGCUUUGUGAUGUUGGCAGGGGAGGGGAGACCUGGGUGGUGACUGAGUUCCCUUUAUCAAACCCUUCAAUGGGCACAAAAUUGAGUGCUUGAUUUUAGGUUUUAUUUUUUUAUGAAUGUCCAAAUCUGUGUUUCCCCCUGCCCUCCCAGACUGUGUGGCCAGUUGAAAGUGUCUGGUUUGUGUUCAUCUCUCCCUCAUUUCUGGAGCAGGGCCUGAGACCCUGCCA
rnacentral:lncRNA from 1 species